CUAUUUGUUAGGCACUAUGCAAACAUUUUACUGAUUACUUAUAUUAUCUCGUUUAACCUUUAUAAAAACUCUGAGAUAGGGACUAUUAUUAAUCCUAUUUUACAGAUGAGAAAACUGAGGCUUGAGGCAGUUUAAUAAUUUACCCAUGUUCAUAUAUCUAAUAGGAGAAGGAGCUAGGAUCUGAAAUUAGGUCAAAUUCCUAAACUAAAACCUUACUCAAAAUGCAUAAUACCUCUCAAUGCUAUGUUUUGUCAAAAAGUUAGAAAUUCCCUGAUCCAGGCAGAAGUAAAGCAUCUCAUGAGGGACUUCUACUCUCCUAAGAUAUCAUCAGAAGGGGGUAAAAACAGCCAAGCUUCACCUAGGCAGAAACCAUGAUCCUAAUAGCAAAAAAAGGACUUACCUGGGCAAAAUAAACCCACUACUUGGCUUGUUUAAGGGAUAAAAAUUGGUGUCUUCCUUAACGGGGACAAAUAGCUGGCUCUGUCCAGAUGAGCAAGAGAAGCCAGACUUUCUAUACCCUCUCCAAACCUUAAAUUUCAUCUUUGGCUUUCUAAAAGAGGUUAAAGAGGAAAACACAAUUUAACAAUACACUGGAAAACUAGGGAGUUGAUAAAUGCCUGUGAUACUUACAUGCAAAAAUCAGAACAGCAAAGAUAUGGGCAAAAAAGACUGGGCUAAAUAAUGAUGACAUACCACGGCUAAAA